CAGAGUGUAAAAACUCCCAAACCCAUUGUGAACAUACCAUUGUUGCUUCGGCGGAUGCGCCCCGGGCGCGCCCUCACAGGCGUGCCCCGGAUCCAGGCGCCCGCCGGGGGACCGAAACUUCUGUUUUUAUAGAGAAUCUCUGAGUAUGAUUAUAAAUCAAAUCA
rnacentral:misc_RNA from 1 species